rnacentral:lncRNA from 1 species
CGGCGCGGCGCGGUCGGGAUGGCCCGCAGCGACGCCGAUGCAUCCUGAUUAUGAACGGCUUUAUGUGUGCCCAGCUUUAUUAGCCACUCCCAGCAGGGGUUCUGCUGGAAAAAGCAAGGUUCCAAGAAGGAUUUACAGAGGAGAAGGGAUGGAGAAGAAGCACGUGAGAGAUACUAGUAGAGUUGAGUGUUACAGGAAAGAACUUUACAAUCCUCCCAUUCAUCCCAACUGCUUCCAGGUCUGGAUAGAAAGUAUCAGACUGUAAACCCUGCCUUUUAUUUUUGUGUAAGGCACUCUAAUACAAAGAACUUGUGGUUAAUAGAAAAACUGGGAAGAGUGGUGGUGUCUUGUUGAUUGAUGCUGUCAAGCAGCAAUGGGUGUAGAGGACAGGAGGAUUUAAAAUCCACUGGGAUUUAAUGUCACUAUGCACUUUACUCUGGGAUGGCUUCCAUCCUAAAUAAACCACCUGGAGAAUGGAAGUAGUUAUAACA